rnacentral:miRNA from 1 species
GAAAGCGAUUAAGCGAUCGAG